UAACAGAAACAUGAGGCUCGACCCAUCAGUGAAAUUAUUGGGUUCAUUCGUUCAUUCCAAGACCCAUCAGUCGCUCGAUCGAGCGGUCGGCAUGAUCUUGAAGCCUUCUCGAUCGUGAAUCCAGUCGCCGACCCGGAAAAGUGGGAGGGAGAUGGCGACUGCGGAGGCGAAGGCAGUGAUCCCGGAGUCGGCUCUGAAGAAGAGGAAGAGGGAGGAGCAGUGGGCUCUGGUGAAGAAACAGGACCUCGACGCCAAGAAGAAGAAGGCCAGGUAGAACCGAAAACUAAUCUUCAGUAGAGCCAAGCAGUAUGCUAAGGAGUAACGAAUCCCAGUUCCCAUUUUUGGUAGGAAAAACAGCUGAUUCGUUUGAAGAGAGAGGCCAGGAUGAAGGGUGGAGUCGACUGUAGCCCUAAAGCCAAGCUUCUCUUCAUCAUCUGCAUUCGAGGGUGGGCGACACCUUUUCUCUACCCUUUUAAUAUAUAUAGUCUAUUAUGUCAUAAAUUGAUUUUUCUUUGUUAUUUUGGUAAUUAACAUGUCAUUUCUCUGUUUGCAAUUGAUCCAUCAACGCCAUGCACCCAAGAACACGAAAGAUCUUGCCACUCCUUCGUCUCAGACAGAUAUUCAAUGGUGUAUUUUUGGAAGUUAACAAGGCCAUGAUGAACAUGUUGCGUCGGGUUGAACCUCAUGUUACAUAGGGAUUGGUGCAGUUGGAAGUGAUACUCUUAAACAUUGAGUGGAUAUAGCAACCUGAUUGAAAGCUCGUGUCGACAGUCCAAGUUAGACUCGACAGUCCAAGUUAGACCCUUUUGUAGUCUCUUUUCCAACAAUGUUAUUUUAUGAAAGUAACCAAUGAGAAUAAUAAGGUCGUAAGCCUAGCUAUUUUGGGUUCGGCUAUAUGGAUCUUUUGCUGCUAUUGAGAUUUGUUAUAUACUAGAAUACAUGCUCUUAGACCUAAGUCGAAGGCUAAGACCGCAGCAAUCUGCAAGUCUACCACGGCUUUAAAUGUGAAUCAGAGAAACACGGAAUCUAGCGGCAAAGAUCCCCUGCCUCCCAUCCCAUUAUCCACGUCUUCCGAAGCAGCAGGUAUACAAACGGACAAGAUCUGAAUGCUGUCAUUGUCACAGAAGUGGAGCCUGUUGUUGGAGCACUGGCAAUUAGGGACGAGGUUGAUAAGAAGAGCACUGGCAAUUCAUUGUCACUUAACCUGAAAGAAUGCUCAGGUGGAUAAGCAGAAGAUUGAUGCAAGGAACUAAGAGCUUGAAAAGACUAUAAUGUAUCUAUCUAUCAGGUGGGGAUAGAGAGUGCAAUUCCACAAAUUGUAAAUCUUAAUCUCGUUCUUUGUACAUUGCUAUAUGCAUGCAACCAACCCUAAUUGCCAGAGUAACUUUGCUGUGUGCUGCC